GGCGGAAUAGCUCAGCUGGCUAGAGCACACGGUUCAUACCCGUGGUGUCGAAGGUUCAAGUCCUUUUUCCGCUACUA
rnacentral:tRNA from 1 species